AUGGCCUUGGUGGACACCAUCUGCUCUAGGCAGGCUGUGGGCUUUGCUGCCACAAAAGUGAAGAUUAAGUGCUGGAAAGGUGUGGCCACUUGGCUCUGGGUGGCCAAUGAUGAGAACUGUGGCAUCUGCAGGGUAGCAUUUAACUGCUGCUGCCCUGACUGCAAUGACUGCCUGCUGGUGUGGGGCCAGUGCUCCCACUGCUUCCACAUGCACUGCAUCCUCAAGUGGCUUCACGCACAGCAGGUGCAGCAGCACUGCCCAAGUGCCUACAGGAGUGGCAGUUCAAGGAGUGA